GACAGAGGUGCCGAGCGUUAGGCGGAAUCACUGGGCUUAAAGCGUGUGUAGGCGGGCGAUCAAGUACCUUGUGAAAUCCCACGGCUCAACCGUGGAACCGCUGGGUAUACUGGUUGUCUUGAGCCGGCUAGGGGCGAGCGGAACAGACGGUGGAGCAGUGAAAUGCGUAGAUAUCGUGAGGAAGACCAGUGGCGAAGGCGGAUCUCUGGACAGUUCCUGACGCUGAGGCGCGAAGGCCAGGGGAGCAAACGGG
rnacentral:rRNA from 1 species